AAUGAAUUAAGACUUUGGAAGACUGUUGAAAGAGGAUGAUUGUGUUUUGAAAUGUGAGGACAUGAGAUUUGGAAGGCACCAGGGGUAGAAUAUUAUGGUUUGGCUGUGUCCUCACGCAAGUACCAUCUUGAAUUGUAGUUCCCAUAAUCCCCACAUGUUGUGGAAGUGACCUGGUGGGAGAUAAUUGAAUCAUGGGGGUGCUGUUAUUGUGGUAGUGAGUGAGUUUUCAUGAGCUCUAAUGGUUUAAUAAGGGGCUUUUCCCUCUUUGCUCAGCACUUCUCCUUCCUGCUGCCAUGUGAAGAAGGACGUGAAACAUGUCACUGCCAUGAUUGGCCAUGGAAGGAGUCUAUUCAAGUGAUGGUCCCUGAAGCUUAUGUUUUUUUAACUUUCUAGCAAUUCUACCACAAGUAAAAAACAGACUACUUCAUACAGGUUCUGGUGGCUGCUGGCAUCUCUGAGCUUGUUGCUGCAGGACUCUAAUCUCUGCCUCUAGGAUCACACCGCCUCCUACUCUUCUCUCAUAUGUGACAGAAAGACCACUGUGCUAAGUUAAGCAUGUGAAGAUGGAGUCCUGGGUUUACGCCUUGUUAAGAAAUCAACUGCAGUUUCCUUGUAUGGAAAUCAAGGGCCUUGCAUGAGGCCAUGGAUUGCUUUUCACUUCGUCACCCACAUCUCCUCUCAUUUAGCCUUUAUAAGAAAUCUGCAAAGUGGGAGCUCUUUCAAUACUGAUUCAUAGAAAUCAGGAAACUGGCUUUCUAUGAUUAAGCAAUUUGCCCAUGAUCACAAAGCAGAUGUGAAAAAGAUAAAGGUAAUAAGUGGUCUAUAAAGAUAAGACGUGAUGUGCACUUCCACCCAGUCUUUGCUAGUCUCCAAAGUCUCUCAUUUGCACUAAACCAUGCUAAGCAUCUCUUCAACCAUAUCAGGGAUAGAGAACUCUCCAUUUUAUCCAGAGUUAAUCUAACAUAAGAUUUUAUCAGAAAUCCAAACUCAAAAUACUACAAAUGCACACACACACACACACACAAACACACACACACACACACACGCACACAUCUAUUCACCAAAGAUUCUAUGAAUAAUUAAAAAUCAGUCUUCAUCUGCUUGACACUAAGUGUUGACAGGGCCCUGGACAGAGGCCUGUGUCAGCAUUCUUCAGAGACUUCACAGCAUUUGACAACUGCUUGUAGCUAAACAAACCCCCUGUCAAGAAGGCCAGUUUUGGUGUAAAAGUUUCUGCAAAGAAAAAAAUCUCUUCUCCUAGAUUGCUAACCCAGCCUCAACAAGACAGUGACCCGAUUAUGACUAUCUUCUUGUCAGUUGUUACUUUUAUCCUGAUUUCAUGGUUCAGCUGUCAAAUAGCCAAUCCUAGUUGAAGGCCAAAGCUGCAGUGAGAGAAGAAAGAGAACAGUAAUACAAAUAGUAAAUUAAAAAGGGAGCUGUCUUCAUCUGGUGAACAGGUAUUCCCUCCUCAGAACACAUCUUUUGAAAUAUUUGGCCCUGUAUAUUGCAUUUGCAAAGUAAUAAUUCAUCUCAUCAUUUUUAGUUAUUGCAAACCUGUGUGAAUGUCAGAGAUUCUGAUUAGCAGAAUGCAUCAGUAUUACCAUUCUGACUUAAUGUACUCAUAUCCAGAAAGCCCCAACUCUUAGCACAAAGGUCUAAUACUGUCCCAGGACUUAACAUCUCAGAGGAUGAGAAAGUCAGACUAUUAGGGGGUGAGAAGAGGUUGAUGAGAUAAAGAAGUGGUAGGGAAAGAAAACCUUGUACUCUUCCUAGAGGUUGGAGUGCUGACCCCCAGUACCAGGGCUCAUAGAUGGGGAACCCCCAAAUUAGGCAAUUGGGAUGUCAUUCUUGAGAAAGGCCCAUACUGAUGGCUCAUGCUGACUGAAGGGUGUAUGAGGUCUUUGGAAGAAGCUUGUGACCACCCUAAGGUAAAGCUAAUCUGUUGCUAAUAAAUGUCAGAUUAUGUCUUUAAUUUUCUCAAAAGUCUGAUGAGGCCAAGGUUAUAGGACCAAUUUGCAUGUAGAACUUUUAACUCCCUCUUUGCCCAUGGCCACAGGUAUACCCUUAGUCUCCCAGGUUAGGUAUCUAAGAUCCCUCGGCUUCCUGGUCACAAUGAUCAUUAUUGCACCUAGACACCUACUUCAAGCCUUUGUUUGACUAUCACCUUCUCAAUGAAACUUGAGCUGGUCAUGCUAUUUUAAAUGAUAAACUUCCCACCAAGGCACACCUGACAUUCCUUACUCUCCUUUUUAUUCUAUCUGUAGUUACAAACAGCUUCUGAUAAGCCCUAUGGUUUACUUAUAUGCUCUAUUUUUUUUUUAUUUCUUAUAUCCCCUGCUAGAAUGUAAGAUCCAUGAGGCCAAGGAUCUUUGUCAGUUUCAUUCAUCAUAGAAUUCAACAUCUCCAACACUAUCUGGCACAUUGUGAGCUCUCAAUAAAUAUUUAAUCAGUGAGUAAAUGCAGACUUCCACACAAAAUGCCAAAUACAGAAGAAGCCAAUUUGGGGAAGUGGUGACUUAAAAGUAGAGUUGUACUCCAAAGAUGAUCUUUCUGUUGGCUUGUUUGUUUAGGGUAAAAUCUUUUAUUUAUUUAUUGUCACAGAAAUCACUGUUGGAAUUUCUAGAAAACCAGAUUAGAUAUAGGGGGCAGAAAAAAUCAGAAAAAUGUUCCCCAGCAUGGCUACAUUAUGCCCUACCUUUGGAGAGUUCUUAUUUAGAGACUGUGCGCUGGAGUCAGCUUCCAAAGUUUCAAGUUCUAGGCAACCUACACAAUAGGAGAACAUUUUUGCAAUCUACGCAUCUGACAAAGGUUUAAUAUCCAGAAUCUACAAAGAACUUAAACAAAUUUACAAGGAAAAAAAACAAGCAACCCCAUCAAAAUGUGGACAAAGGAUAUGAACACUCACUCCUCAAAAGAAGACAUUUAUGCAGCCAACAAACAUGAAAAAUGCUCAUCAUCACUGGUCAUUAGAGAAAUGCAAAUCAAAAUCACAAUGAGAUACCAUUUCACGCCAGUUAGAAUGGCGAUCAUUAAAAAGUCAGGAAACAACAGAUGCUGGCAAGGCUGUGGAGAAAUAGUGACAAUUUUACACUGCUGGUGGGAGUGUAAAUUAGUUCAACCAUUGUG
rnacentral:lncRNA from 10 species